CUUAAUAGCACAUAAGUCUGUUCCAAUUCCAUACCAACAUGAAAGUGUUUUCUAAAUUUUUCCCCAAUGGACCCAAUUCAUUCACAUCAGUGUAUAAAUGUAUUGCCAAAUACCAAUAUAAGUAAAUAAUCUGCCACAACAGAUGUACAAAG